rnacentral:lncRNA from 9 species
AAGCUGGAGCCUCGGAGAAGUCGCCUGACCUACUGACAGCGGAAGGCCUGUGUCUCCCCAGCUCCACGACCGCAGGUUGUUUCUGAGAUGAGGAAUUCAGAGAUGGCUGAGCCGGGCGAUGCUGGCUGCGGGCCCGCUGUGAGGCUGCUGUGAAGACCUCGGCCAGGGCCGCCUCAUCCACGGCUGGACCGGGGCCCGAGGACCUUCGUCCAGGGCUGGCAAGUCCCCUGGGCCCAAUUGCAUCCCUCUUGGCCCAACUCAGUCACAGCCGAGGAGCCCGCUUCUGCAGCAGGUGGGGACGCAGUCGGGGAGAGAGAUCAUUCAAACUGGCUCAAGGAAAGAAAAGAUGGAUGCAGGUGAGAGAGAGAGCGAGAGGGAGGGAGAUUCUACAUAACAGGAAGUCCUGGGCUUAACAGAAGCGAGGGCUCAGCUUCUCCCCAACGCUCAGCUCUGCCGCCAGCCACACUGGCUUCAUCCCCCAGCUUCACGAGAUGAGCCAGGACCUCCGGGAUCCAUGGCCAUGCCUCCAGAUCCCUCGUGGUCAUAAAAUGGCUGCAGCUUCACACGCAUCAGGAGAGUACAACCUACUCCAAGAGUCAGCUGCCGUGCUGACGCCCGCACUGAUGGACGAGCUGAAGUCACAUGCUCACCCCGGAGCCAGCCCUGUGACCAGGAGGUGCAGACCUGCGACCACUGAGGCACGAGUCCCAUGCCGUCUCUGGUGUCAGGAAGGGCCACCUGGGCAGAACAGGGAAGAAGGCCAGAGCGGAGACCACAGAGGCCACUCAGGGAUUCUGUCCUCAGUGAACAACCCAGGGGGCCCUGCACAGCAGCGUGGCCCCAGAGAGGUCCAUCCAGGGUCUAAGUGUCUCCUACAAACCCUGAUUUUCCUCCCAGGACAUCUGAAUGGUGCCAACAGAGGCCCUUUAAGAAAUAAGUCUCAGCCAUCUGGAGGAGUGAGGAAGUGGGAAGCAGAGAUGGCUACCCAGCGACCCGCCCUGGGUAUCUCGGUUUUGCGGUUCCGGUUCCAUUUAAAGGCACAGAGAUGCGAGGUCGCCUCCUGCAGACCCCACGGCAGCUGCCGCCUGCUGCACAUGGUCUUGUCUCUCCCAGGCUGCUCACCCCGCCGUCAACUCCCUCCCUCGGGGACAGACAGAGCCCUCAUCUCUUGGAUGUCACUCGCCUGCUCGGGCCACCUCUCCCCAACUCAUCUGACGGGGCCCAGCAUCCAGGGCAGGUCUCACCACUUCCCUGACCUGCCUCCCAAAUCAGAAGGCCAUGGUCAAGUUCCCACUGGGGCCCAGUCCCGAGAAAGGAAGAAAACAGUUUCUGUCGUCAGAUACCUCAGGGCUUAGUGGGAAACAUGCGCGGCCGGGCCCCGGAAGUGUAGUCAGACUGAGAAGGGGGUGCUGCUGGCGCUGAGCCGUCAAGGCAGGCUUCCUGGAGGAGGAGGACCUGUAGGUCUCGUUCCGCUCUGCCGGCCAGGUGUCCAUCCUCCCUGGACAUGGAAUUCCCCAACAGUGUGCUUCCCUCCCCGGGUUUCCUUUGAACAAAGGAAGGAACAAGCAAAUGAGCAAGCAGCAGGAGGGGGGGAGAAAAUAGAGCACCCACUUCCUGGCUCAGAGCCCCCGCCUUGCCCUCAAGACCCCACGCUACAUCCCACUAGGCUCAUCCCUGUGGCUGUGACCGCAAUAGAGCCCCUCAGCUCAAAGGCAGGGCCGUGUCAGAUUCAGCUCUGAAUCCGCACCCCUGUCCCUGCAGGCACAGGGCAGGUGGCCUGUGAAAGGCUGAGGAGUGAGUGGGUGGGUCUAGUCUCCACCCCAAGCAGCCCCCAGUCUGAUGGUGGGAUGCAGCCCCCGCGCUGGAAACCACCGUCCCAAACAAAGGGUGCAGCCCAGCCCCCUGCAGCCCACAGCCGAGUUAAGGAUAAACAGCUUUAUGCUUGAAAGUGACUUGAGACCCAUGCGGUCGGUGCCAGUGGACGCAGUGCACCCAAGGCUGAAAUUAGGGGGGAAAUGCAUUUACCCGGUGGCUUAAAUGAAGUCACAGUCUCGUCUCUCUUCGACGUAAGCCCCUUGUUAAUAUUGUGCCUCUUCACAUCGGAGGAGCUGCUGCUACUGACGUACGUUUUCCCUCCCUGUCAAUCGG